UUUUUUUUUUUUCUUUUUUUAUUUUUUUCUUCUUUCUUCUCUUUUUUUUCAUCCUCUCAUCCUCAUAUUCAUGGCAAACCCUACACCACGACAUCCAUCUCCCAUGUUGUUACCAUCCAUGAGUCCCACACCCACCAUGCCACCAUCUUUCUAUUCACCCAUGGUUGUUGUUCCCAUGUUCGCUACAACUCAAACAUGCUUCUCGAUGUUUUGCCACAGUCUCGACGCGGUUGUUGUUGUUUCGCCAUAACCCCAACGCGAUUCUUGAUGUUCUGUCACCAUCAUAGCCACCAUUGUUGCAGCCCAUAGCCUUGGUACCUCCUGCACUACACAUUGACUUUUGUUGGAUCGCCAUCAGCACCACCAUCUCCGUGGUUGCCACUUCAUUCUUCAUCUUAGGGCUUCAAGAGACGUAGGUAUCUAAGAAAUACAUCAAGAAGAAGACAAUGAUCGAUGCAGAAACGAAGAGCACCUCUUAUGAAGAUAAUGUUGUACUUUUCAAUUUAAGUUUGUAUAUUAUUUUAAUUGAAUGUUUUUAGCUAGGUUUUGUUUGUAUAUAGAAAAUAGAGAGUAACUUGAAAAAGAUUUAUGGAAUUGUGUUCUUAAUAUUUAAUGUAUAUGUAAUAUUUUUUUUCCUUAAAUAGUAAUGUAUUUAAAUUAUUUUAAGGACUUGAUUGUAAUUAUCAUAAUUAAAAAUAUACCAAAUUUAAUUUCAA